rnacentral:lncRNA from 1 species
UCAGCCAAGACCGUGGGGGACGCCACGACGCCGGCGGUGUCCAAGAUCCUCGCCAACCACUCCGACAUGCACCUGCACCCGCAGGUGCACCGCCUGUGCGAGGACGGGCGGGUGGUGUUCGCCGACGGCUCGUCCGUCGUCGCCGACACCUUCAUCUACAGCACCGGGUACCUGUACUCGUUCCCGUUCCUCGACACGGGAGGGGUGGUCACCGUGGACGACAACCGCGUGGGCCCCCUGUUCGAGCACACCUUCCCGCCGGCGCUGGCGCCGUCGCUGUCGUUCGUGGGAAUACCGAUGAAGGUGUUCGUGCCGUGGUUCCUGGAGGCGCAGGCCAGAUGGAUCGCGCGGGUUCUGUCCGGCACGGCGGCGCUCCCGCCGGAGCAAGACAUGCUGCAGGCGGUGCAGGAGGACUACCGCGCCAGGGAGAUGGCCGGCUUCCCGGCGAGGUACUCGCACGACAUCGGCAAUUUCAAAACCAGUGUACGCACCAUUCUUACCAACCUUUGUAUGAUACGGAUUAAACAUUUUUUAGAAAAAAAAUUGACCUUGUGAUACAUACAAGAGAAUUUGAACAGUUUUAUGCUUAGAUGCAAAUGAGCUAUUCUGUAUAGUAGCGCUGAUAUGUUUAAUUCUAUCUUGGGUCAGGAGAUCCUCGAGUUCGUCAACAGGUACACGGACCUCCCAAACAUGGAGGAUUGGAAGAUGGAGCUGUUAUUGACUACCUUAGGGAACAAGAAGGACAACCGCGAAACCUUCCAGGACCGUGACGACUACAGUGAGAACGUCAAUCAGGGUUUUCAGAGAUGGCUCUCCUUAGCUGGUGCCCAAUAUGAAGCUGCCAUUGCUGCUGGUGGUGCUGGUGAUGAUGAUGCCGGUGGUGAUGCUGCGCAAGUGCAGCAGAAGCCAUUGCCGCUCCAUCUCAAGUCUGAACUCUAAACUCUGGACUGUUCAGGUGCAUUUCCACUGCUUGAACGACGAAAUGUUUACCCGUGUAUGGACAAUUAAUUAUUCAUCUGUUAAAUCUAACAAUUUUGUAAUGUACUGCCACCUUAAUACUAUCAUUAUUUAUACUUUACCUUAUCAUCUCUCCACUUUCUAUAACUAUGAUGUCUAGACAUAAAUCAUACUCCCUCCAUUCCAAAUUAUAAGUCAUUCCAAGAAUCUUGGAGAGUCAAAGCAUUUCAAGUUUGACCAAAAUUAUAGAAAAAAUUAUAAAAAUUUAUGACAUCAAAUAGGUAUACUAUGAAAAUAUAAUUGAUGAAGAAUCUAAUAAUACUUAGUUGAUAUUAUAAAUGUUAUUAUAUUAUCAUACAAAUUUGGUCAAACUUGAGAUACUUUGACUCUCCAAGAUUCUUGGAAUGACUUAAUUUGGGACGGAGGGAGUAUCUGGGACCACCAUAAUGUUCGCCUCUACCGUAUCAUCCACUUUUCUUUCUAACCCCAGUUGAGUGACUUUUGUUUAGACUACAAUAUAAUGUUCCAUCAAUUGCGCAUUUCUGCCCUCCACUCUCGCCUUCCUAAAUCCACAGCCUCGAGCCACAUGUUUUCAAGCCUUGUGCAACAACUAGACUGUGCGCGCUGCCGUCAUGUGAGGCUUGUAGAGUGGCUACUCGAGCGUGAAUUGGCUGGUGAGAUCCAUACACAUUGCGCCGACGUGCAGUGAGGAUUGGGUGGCCGCAGAGGUGUUCAAUACCGUUGGCAUGGCUUGCAUACAUGUGGAGCUAAGAUUGCCACGUAGGAGGUGUUCGAUACUAUAUAUGGGCAUCGUCGCCAACAACCAAUAAUUGCAGCUAUGAUUAAUAUAAUCUAACUGCUCACUAUAUAGUAAAAUAUGUGCAAAUCAAUCAGCCCUAGGCUGCUCGAUUGGUCUGGGUCAGGGAUGGAAAAAAGGAGCCGGUUGCAAGUGCACAGCCACUCGUACCGGGUGUCUGACCCUACCGUGAUGAGGUACAGAUCGGAGGCAGUGCAAGCCAUUCAUUUGUACUCUUCUUGCUUGGCUGUGAUGGGUGCCUGAAUAAUUCAUAUUUCAAAACAUGUGUGUUGUAUUUUAGUUGAACCUUCAAUGCAGUGUUUAAACGCUAUAGUUACUGGUAGGACAAAACACGACUUUGAAAAGGAAAAAAGUAUAUGUUUUUUCGCUUAUUCAUCUUCAUUCUUGAUCUAACAGCCUAGUUCUUCUCCAACUAAACCCUAUCUUCCUGGCCACCUUCUUCACUCCCGACUAUGAACUAGCGCUGAUGCUGCUCGCCAAAUCCGAUGCCAGCAGGCUCCUAGUUCAGUCAAUACCUUUCUCCCCAGAUCUAUCAUGUGUACAACUCAGAGACAGACACAAAAAUCUACAGUAACACUGACAAAUCUUACGAUAAUAUAAUCUUGGUGAUGGCAAUAUGAAAAUAUUGUAGCGCGGGUGACCGCCGUCUUCGUCACGCUUGUGUCGACCCAUAUCUGUAUUGGCUAUGUCGGCUGCUCAAGAUACUAUGGGAAAAGCGCCUUCAGUACCCGUUCCUAACCCCCUUUAGCACCGGUUGUACUAGUUGUGCAAUCGGUAUUGCUACUUUAGAACUAAAGGGAUCCUUUUGUACCGGAUCAAAUAACCAGUACUAAAGGGGGGCCUCUAGUACCGGUUGUUUAUACCAACCGGUACUAAAUUGGCUGCCACGUCGCGCGUGGCCGAAGCCAAUUUAGUACUAACUGGUAUAAACAACCAAUACUGAAGGUCUUUUUUCUUUUCUAUUUCUUUUCACAUUUUCUUUUCUAUUUCUUUAUUCUAUAUUAGUAUUUCGUAUUUGCACUACUGGAGAAAUCGCUUCUGGUACCGGUCCGUAACACCCUCUAGUACGGGUUGUGCAACCGGUACUGGCAAUCCGGUACUAGGGGGUGCUUUAGUACCGGUUGAAAUAACCGGUACUAAAGGUAGUACCGGUUGGGGAUACCCGUACUACCUCUUUAUCUUCAUAGUUCACUUUAAGCCCAUAUCGGUCCAAUUGCUCCAGCCUCCCAAUCGGCCGAUUUCCACCAACCCCAUCCGCGGAAACACUGAAGCACCAAUCGGUCGAUCCUCAACUGUAGCAUCAAUCGGCCGAUUUCCAAUCGUGACCUCUGUGUCUUGCCGCAUCUCCUGAUUUCUUCCUUUCUUGAUGCCAAUUUCACACGUGUCAAAAUCUGGCGUCAACAUCUUCUUUAAUAUUUUCAGUUCUUUUGAUUUCAUCAUAUUUUAAUGCUACAUGUAUGAGUUACAGUGUUAAAAACCUAACUUGAUAUGUUCUAGUAAAUCUAUAGAUGUAUGCUCCUGUAAGUAAUAUUAAGUCUGAUUCUAGUGAUGUAUUUUAUGCAUUGUUCCAGUAAGUCUGAUUCCACUAACUUGAUAUAUUCUAGUAACUUGAUAUGUUCCAGUAAACCCUAACUUGAUAUGUUCCAGUAAAUAUGAUUCCAGUAAUAUAUUUUAGUCAUCAUUAACUAUUUACUUGUAUGCAUUGUUCAUAGAUCAUUAACUAUUUAGGGGUUUCUAAUAGUAAAAAUUUAUUUGUGCCUUCACUAACUAUACAAAAAAUUCAUAUAGUGUCAAUAUAUCUGCAUCAAUAUAUCUGUGUAAAUUUUUGACUAUUAUCUGCAUCAAUAUAUCUGUCAUCCAUUCUAUUCAUAAGUUUAUAUGCCAUCAGUUAGAUAUCAUUAGACAUAUACUUAGAUUAUUUUAGUUUAGUCAUUUGUACCAUUUAUCGUUCAAACUUCAUUAAUUUACAACGCUUUAGUGCCUGUCAAUUGUAUAAAAAUAUUCCGUAACGAGUUAAAAAUUUUAAUUUUCAAAUUUGAAUGGUAUUUUUACAUUUGAGGGGUUUCUCAUAGGAAAAAUAAAUUUGUUAUCCGACUACUACUGUAAUUCCAUAUACAUUAGGUUUCUUAAUUAUUUACACUGAUAUUGUUCCUGUAAUUUCAAUUUGUAUAUUCUGUAGUUUUUAAUUUGUGUAAAUUUGCAUGUUGUGUUUGCAUCUUUAGGGUUUCCACUAACAAAUUAUUUGUUCUUUGGCUAACCAUAGAGAAAAUGUGUUUAGCUGUUUAAUUUGCUUUGUCUUGUUAAUAUUUUUUUAUGCUACUGUUGAGUUUCUUAUCUUAGCUAUUUAUAUGAGACUUUUUUCAAUUUCAAAUGUUUGUAGCUAGUGCACAUUUGUAGAGUUCUUGUUAAUCUGUUUCAGCUUUCCACAAUUGUAAAGGACAGGAAGUUUAUGCAACUGUUAUCUUAGCUGUUAUAAUACUUUAUGCUAUUGUUCUAUUUGUUAUCUUUCAUUUAUUCAUGCACUUAUUCUAAAUUUAGUGAUGCAGUGGUUUUAUUUUAAUAUGAGGUUUUGCUUUAUCAAAAAGUCUAAAUUUAUUCUAUAAGUGUCUAUAGGUAAAAUUUUGUUUAUCCGUUUACAUUAGCAUGCCAUGUACAUUCAUAAUUCUAUAUACAUUAGGAUUCUUAAUUAUUUACACUAUAUUAGUAAGUAACUUACAGUGUCAGUGUUACUGUAAUUUCAAUUCGUAUAAUGUGUAAUUUUAAGUUUUUAUAAAUACAUUGAAUUUUGAUUUUGCUAGACUCUUCCAUUGGUCAUGCUCUAAUAUGAUUUUAGGUUUUUCCUCCUGUUCAAUUUGUUAUCUUAGCUCUUGCACAAGUUCUUCUAGAAUUUUCACACUUUACAUUUGUUGCAGCAUCGUUCUCUUUCUUUUCACGCUUUUGCAAGGGAAGAAGUUCCUAUGACUCGUCACAAUUUGUGCUACUUUGGUAUCACUAAUGAUCCUCAAGACUGUCUGAUUUUAGCUUGGUCACAAACUGAUGAGAACAAGAACAAGUGGAUGACAACAGUCCGUGCUUUGGAGAGUCUGGUUGGUCAUAAAAAUCUUCCAAGGUUCAAGAUUGCAGUGGAUCCAGGUAAUCUUCCGUUAUUUACCAAUUUUUAGAGUUUGAUUUGGCAAAAUAAAUUUAUUUGUCCUGAGUUUUUAACAAUUUUCUAUUGUUCAGGUCGCAGGUUUGGUUUUAUUCUUUGCCUAGAUAGUCAGAUUGCACAAGGCAUUCAUGGUCGCUAUGUAGUCAGAUUGCACAAGGCAUUCAUGGUCGCUAUGUUUAAGUUGGGCAAGAGAAGAUCUUCUUUGACCUAGUGAGGAGUGUGAAGAAAAUGCCAUUCUAUGAAGAUUGCAAUCAGCAUCUCAAGGUUUUGAGGUGGAUAUGAAGAAGUGUUCCAGAAAUAUCUGAUUAAGGACAUGCAGGAACCAGAUAUGUCUUUGAAUCUGGAUGUUGCAUUUUGGUGUCUUUUGCUUUGGAUAAUAUAUAUCUGUAGUUAACUAGAUGUAGCAUCAAACUUUCUUUUGAUGUGUGUAAUAUGCAAAUUGCAAGAUGCUACAUCCAUAUGUCUAGAGUAUUGGAAUGAUGGUUUAUGAACAUAUUUAAGUAUGGCUGAAUAUUUUAAGAACUUAUUUUAUAAUUAGUUAUGAAUAUUAUGGCUGAAUAUUAUGGCUGAACUUGUUUUAUAAGUAUGGCUAACUUUUAUGCAAAUUUGAAGAAUGAUAAGAUGCCAUAUGUGGUUUUCCUUUUUAUUAUUCAAUUCUCUAGUUGAAAAAAUAUGUAUGAAGAAAUCUGCUAAAAUGUAAUGUGUUUUAGCAUUUCAUUACAGUUUGAAAUCUGCUAGAAAUCUGACUAUUACAGUUUGAAUUUCAUUAAUUUACAGUGCUUUAGUGCCUGUAAUUUGUUCAAUGUUGUCAUGUAAACGAGUUGCAAUUGUUUAAUCUUGUCAUGUAAAUCUGAUUUGUAUUUUUACAUUUGAGGGGUUUCUCACAGUUAGAAAUAAUUUGUUAUCUGGCUAACUAUAGAAAAAAAUGUUUCAGUUGUUAAUUUUGCUCAACAUUUUCAGAUGUAUUUUUGCAUUUUAUUUUUCCUUGUCUUUUUUGCAUCAGUUUGGUUAAUAUGUGCUCAGCAUAGUUGUUUUCUUUCUGCAUCAGUAUCCUAGGGUCAUAAUUUUCACGUGACAGAUGUAUUUGUAGCAUCUGGAUUUUUUUCUCUUCAAAACAGGGUGUUUUUCACCUUCAAAUCACCCGGGUAAUUGUGGAUUCAGAAAUACCUAGGUUAGCAGUAGACACUCUCGUAAUAGAUUUCUCUUCAAUGCCAACCACGCACAUAAAACUAAAAGGUAGGCCGUGCCAAUAACACCAAUAACACAACCGGUAUGAGUAUGACUUCAAAAAUAAUAAAUAACUUUUUUCUUGGCAAACAAUGAUGACCUACAUCUAGAUCAUAUAUUUUAAGUUGUUUUUGUCGUGGUGUCUUCCUCAUGAACACCAAUAAUGCACUUCCGCUUUUCCUGAGCACGUGUAGUCCGUAGUUGUUUUUUGUUCAGCUCGGCCUCCAUAAACUGGGAUCCCAUUAUGCGCUAUUUACCUUCAUCUUGACAUCCAUAAUUAUUUUUGCCUAGACUAUUUAUUUACGUAUUCACAUGGUGCCUCGCAUAGUCCCAACCAUCCUCCUGCAGGAUCGAUCACUGCAGUAGACUGUGGGGUUUUGCCUUCUGAACAGAACAGUGAUACUGGGAUGCGGAAGUGAGGUAGCCGGUAAGAACGACAUUGCGGUCUUCCUGUUUCUAGUAGUGUGGAGCAAUCUUAGGCCCUAUUUAGAGGGCAUAUUUCCGCUAUUUUGUAAAGCUAUUUUGUAGUAAAGGUUGUUAGAUUGAUCUCCUCCCCAAUGGGCCCAAAGGCCCAUUGGGACCCUGAUCCGCGCCCUGAUCGGGGGUGCUCACCCUAGCAUUGGGUGGUGGGCUCCUGUCGCGCUGCGCUAUAUAAACAGGGUGGGGGACCCGGCUCGGCUCACGAGGUUCGCCGCAACCAGCCGCCCCACCGACACACCUACCGAUCUAGGUUUUGCGCAGUAGCGGCGGGAAGUACCACCGCUACCUCACCGGCGACCGGACUCGGCACUGCGCGUCGCUGCCUUGCGCAGACUCCACCAAGCGAACCAGCGAUGGCCAGCAGCUCUACUGCUCCCACCCCUAGGGUGAAGGUACCCCUAUCUCUCUCUCCCUCUCGGCACACACCAGAAACACCAUGUCCCUCAUGUUGUUUAUGAUCCCGAUUAGAUGUGCAUCUAGAGAUCCUAGGCACGCGUCUAACAAUGGUAUCAGACCCCUCACUAGAAGCUCUUCUAGAUCAGGAAAAAGAAGUAGAUCCAAAAAGAAACAGAAAAAGUAAAACCUAAAACCCUAACCCUAGAACUAAAGAAAAGAGGGACGCGGGGAGGCUUACCUGCCGCCGUCCUCACCGCUGCACAUCCACCGACGGCGAGCGGCAAAGGCCGGCCGAGCCUCGGGCUCACCGGGGAAAAGGUCCACCCGAGCUGCCGGAGCAUCCGCUCGGGGCUCGGGUUGGGGGGGGGCGCAACAGCACCACCAAAGGACCGCUCGACGGCGGUGCGCCCAACCUCGCGGUGGACGCGCGCGCCGGCGAGGGGACCCGCGGUGGCGCCGGCCCUCCUCCAUGGUCGCCAUGGCUCUUUGGAUCUCGUUUUUUUUUCGGGAGGCCCGGAGGGAGAAAGGGGGGAGGCAAGAAAGAGAAAGGGGAGGGGGCUGCCGCGGCCGUGCGCCGGUGGGGCCAUCCCUCCACCGCCGCCGUCGGCCAUCGCCGGGCGCGGGAGAGACAGCCCCGCCGCCGCCGCCACGGUGGGAUCUCGCGGGGGAAAGAAAGGAAUGAAGCUAUGGUUUCCGGGGGAUCGGCCGUCGGGCGCUUUUGUUCCGCCGAAAUCAACGCACGGCCGUCCGAUUAGAUCGACGGCUCACAGCUGCCGGCGGGGGUCCGCGAUCGACAUUGCGGUAUGCGGAAGUGAGGUAGCCGGUAAGAACGACAUUGCGGUCUUCCUGUUUCCAGUAGUGUGGAGCAAUCUUAGGCCCUAUUUAGCGGGCAUAUUUCCACUAUUUUGUAAAGCUAUUUUGUAGUAAAGGUAUUUUGCAAACUAGAAGUCUAUAUAGUAAAAUCAGAUUUUUUUUUUUACUUCACGAAUUUUGACUACACAGGUCUGUUUUGGCAUUUUGGGAGAAACCUUCCCAAACAGUUCCUUAAUGUAUUAGCCACUUAGCCCUGGCUGGUGAAGCUGCAACGGGGACGUGAUCGAGUUUGCUUGCAUAAUAGGAAGCUACUACACAACAUUAUUUGCACACUUCACAAGAGAAUGAAUAUAAUGAGGGCAGCACGGACACUUCAGCUAUCUUCAUCGCCCGUCUGAAUUCUCAAAUAUUUUAUAUGAACUAGAUGGAGCACUUAGCUGUUAGAGUGCAAUAGUGGUUGAGACAAGACAACCGCAAUUUCUUUUAUCCUCGGGUGGGUUGGGUGUAGCAUCUAUUCCUCUCCAAGGGAAAAAGUGCACCUAGCAAAUCACUGGAGCAAAACAUGACGAUGCUUACACCUUAGUUAGCUAGACAUUACAAUAUUACAUUAAAAUAACCUAUUCUUAAGCAUAAUAUAGAUGAACGUCAGUGUACAUAAUAUAGAUGAACGUCCAGGGCGCAUGCCUGGAUCCAUCGUCAUGGACAUGGCUAGCAUGAGGCCGCCUGCUGAGCCCAAGAAGGUAUGCGUCGUCGGCGCGGGCAUGUCCGGGCUGGCGGCGGCGCGCGAGCUGCGGCGCGAGGGCCUCGCCGUCACGGUCCUGGAGCAAUGCGGCGACAUCGGCGGGCAGUGGCUCUACGACCCUCGGACCGACGCCGACGACCCGCUCGGAGCCGCGGUGCCGGUGAAUGUGCACGGCAGCAUGUACGCGUCCGUGCGGCUGAUCAGCACGCGCGAGACCAUGGGCUUCUCCGACUUCCAGUUCGUGCCCAGGCCCGGCGCCGCCGGCCGCGACGCGCGCCGCUUCCCGGGACGCCGCGAGGUGUACUGCUACCUCAAGGACUUCUGCGCCGCGUUCGGGCUCGCCGACGCCGUCAGGCUCAACACCCGCGUCGUGCGCGUCGCCAUGGCGGCGCCGGCGCCACGUGAAGCCUCCGGCGGCGACGUCAAAUGGCUGGUGAGAUCCGUACACGUCCAGCCGGACGGCAGCGAGGACGGGGUGGCCGCCGAGGAGGUGUUCGACGCCGUCGUCGUCGCCAACGGCCAUUAUUCGCAGCCAAGAUUGCCCAAGAUACAAGGUACCUAAACCAAUAUAAUCCAACUGCUCACUACAUAGUAUUACAUUUGCAAAUAAACCAACUCUCGCCUGCUCGAUCGAUCUCGAUCAGGAAUGGGGGAAUGGAGCCGGCGGCAACUGCACAGCCACUCCUACCGGGUGCCGGACCCCUACCGCGACGAGGUACGGAGGAAGAAUCCACAGCAAAAGCCAUUCAUUAUUUAUGCUCUGCUUGCUUGGCAGCCUGACAAUAGUCUUCGUCUCCGGCGACGGAGCGCAGACGGUGGUGAUCGUCGGCUGCGGGGACAGCGGCCUGGACAUCGCCCUGGAUCUCUCCGGUGUCGCCAAGGAGGUUCACCUCUCAGCCAGGACCGUGGGGGACGCCACGACGCCGGCGGUGUCCAAUAUCCUCGCCAACCACUCCGACAUGCACCUGCACCCGCAGGUGCACCGCCUGUGCGAGGACGGGCGGGUAGUGUUCGCCGACGGCUCGUCCGUCGUCGCCGACACCGUCAUCUACUGCACCGGGUACCUGUACUCGUUCCCGUUCCUCGACACGGGAGGGGUGGUCACCGUGGACGACAACCGCGUGGGCCCCCUGUUCGAGCACACCUUCCCGCCGGCGCUGGCGCCGUCGCUGUCGUUCGUGGGAAUACCGAUGAGGGUGUUCGUGCCGUGGUUCCUGGAGGCGCAGGCCAGAUGGAUCGCGCGGGUUCUGUCCGGCACGGCGGCGCUGCCGCCGGAGCAAGACAUGCUGCAGGCGGUGCAGGAGGACUACCGCGCCAGGGAGAUGGCCGGUUUGCCGGCGAGGUACUCGCACGACAUCGGCAUGUUCAAAAUCAGUGUACGCACCCUCCUUACCAACCUUUGUAUGAUACGGAUUAAACAUUUUUUAGAAAAAAAUUGACCUUGUGAUACAUACAAGAGAAUUUGAACAGUUUUAUGCUUAGAUGCAAAUGAGCUAUUCUGUAUAGUAGCGCUGAUAUGUUUAAUUCUAUCUUGGGUCAGGAGAUCCUCGAGUUCGUCAACAGGUACACGGACCUCCCAAACAUGGAGGAUUGGAAGAUGGAGCUGUUAUUGACUACCUUAGGGAACAUGAAGGACAACCGCGAAACCUUCCAGGACCGUGACGACUACAGUGAGAACGUCAAUCAGGGUUUUCAGAGAUGGCUCUCCUUAGCUGGUGCCCAAUAUGAAGCUGCCAUUGCUGCUGGUGGUGCUGGUGAUGAUGAUGCCGGUGGUGAUGCUGCGGAAGUGCAGCAGAAGCCAUUGCCGCUCCAUCUCAAGUCUGAACUCUAAACUCUGGACUGUUCAGGUGCAUUUCCACUGCUUGAACGACGAAAUGUUUACCCGUGUAUGGACAAUUAAUUAUUCAUCUGUUAAAUCUAAUAAUUGUGUAAUGUACUGCCACCUUAAUACUAUCAUUAUUUAUACUUUACCUUAUCAUCUCUCCACUUUCUAUAACUAUGAUGUCUAGACAUAAAUCAUACUCCCUCCAUUCCAAAUUAUAAGUCAUUCCAAGAAUCUUGGAGAGUCAAAGCAUUUCAAGUUUGACCAAAAUUAUAGAAAAAAUUAUAAAAAUUUAUGACAUCAAAUAGGUAUACUAUGAAAAUAUAAUUGAUGAAGAAUCUAAUGAUACUUAGUUGACAUCAUAAAUAUUAUUAUAUUAUCAUACAAAUUUGGUCAAACUUGAGAUAUUUUGACUCUCCAAGAUUCUUGGAAUGACUUAUAAUUUGGGACGGAGGAAGUAUCUGGGACCACCAUAAUGUUCGGCUCUACCGUAUCAUCCACUUUUCUUUCUAAUCCCAGUUGAGUGACUUUUGUUUAGGCUACAAUAUAAUGUUCCAUCAAUUGCGCAUUUCUGCCCUCCACUCUCGCCUUCCUAAAUCCACAGCCUCGAGCCACAUGUUUUCAAGCCUUGUGCAACAACUAGACUGUGCGCGCUGCCGUCAUGUGAGGCUUGUAGAGUGGCUACUCGAGCGUGAAUUGGCUUGGUGAGAUCCAUACAUGCAGUGAGGAUUGGGUGGCCGCAGAGGUGUUCAAUACCGUUGGCAUGGCUUGCAUACAUGUGGAGCUAAGAUUGCCACGUAGGAGGUGUUCGAUACUAUAUAUGGGCAUCGUCGCCAACAACCAAUAAUUGCAGCUAUGAUUGCCAAAGACACAAGGUACCUAAAACAAUAUAAUCUAACUGCUCACUAUAUAGUAAAAUAUGUGCAAAUCAAUCAGCCCUAGGCUGCUCGAUUGGUCUGGGUCAGGGAUGGAAAAAAGGAGCCGGUUGCAAGUGCACAGCCACUCGUACCGGGUGUCUGACCCUACCGUGAUGAGGUACAGAUCGGAGGCAGUGCAAACCAUUCAUUUGUACUCUUCUUGCUUGGCUGUGAUGGGUGCCUGAAUAAUUCAUAUUUCAAAACAUGUGUGUUGUAUUUUAGUUGAACCUUCAAUGCAGUGUUUAAACGCUAUAGUUACUGGUAGGACAAAACACGACUUUGAAAAGGAAAAAAGUAUAUGUUUUUUCGCUUAUUCAUCUUCAUUCUUGAUCUAACAGCCUAGUUCUUCUCCAACUAAACCCUAUCUUCCUGGCCACCUUCUUCACUCCUGACUAUGAACUAGCGCUGAUGCUGCUCGCCAAAUCCGAUGCCAGCAGGCUCCUAGUUCAGUCAAUACCUUUCUCCCCAGAUCUAUCAUGUGUACAACUCAGAGACAGACACAAAAAUCUACAGUAACACUGACAAAUCUUACGAUAAUAUAAUCUUGGUGAUGGCAAUAUGAAAAUAUUGUAGCGCGGGUGACCGCCGUCUUCGUCACGCUUGUGUCGACCCAUAUCUGUAUUGGCUAUGUCGGCUGCUCAAGAUACUAUGGGAAAAGCGCCUUCAGUACCCGUUCCUAACCCCCUUUAGCACCGGUUGUACUAGUUGUGCAAUCGGUAUUGCUACUUUAGAACUAAAGGGAUCCUUUUGUACCGGAUCAAAUAACCAGUACUAAAGGGGGGCCUCUAGUACCGGUUGUUUAUACCAACCGGUACUAAAUUGGCUGCCACGUCGCGCGUGGCCGAAGCCAAUUUAGUACUAACUGGUAUAAACAACCAAUACUGAAGGUCUUUUUUCUUUUCUAUUUCUUUUCUCAUUUUCUUUUCUAUUUCUUUAUUCUAUAUUAGUAUUUCGUAUUUGCACUACUGGAGAAAUCGCUUCUGGUACCGGUCCGUAACACCCUCUAGUACGGGUUGUGCAACCGGUACUGGCAAUCCGGUACUAGGGGGGUGCUUUAGUACCGGUUGAAAUAACCGGUACUAAAGGUAGUACCGGUUCGAUCAGAGAUAAUGGUCUUUGGUACUCCGUGCAAGGAUACGAUCCGGGCUAUAUAGAGUUUAGCAUAUGUCGACACCGGAUAGGUAGUCUUGACUGGAAUAAAGUGAGCUGACUUAGUAAGGCGGUCGACAAUAACCCAUAUGGAAUCAUAUCCUUUUGAAGUGGUAGGCAACCCAACUAUAAAGUCCAUGGAAAUAUCCUCCCAUUUCCAGACAGGGAUUUCUGAAGGUUGAAGUAAACCUGCCGACUUUUGUAGUAUGGGCUUAACUCUUUGGCAAGUAUCACAUUCGGCCACAUAUCUUGCAAUUUCAGGUUUCAUCUUGGCCCACCAGAACCUUUGCUUUAAAUCUUGGUACAUUUUAUUGCUUCCGGGAUGAAUAGCAAACUUAGACAGAUGUGCUUCUUCUAAGAUCAACUUUCUUAGGCUCUCAUCCUUAGGAACUACUAUCCUUUUCUUGAAGUAUAAUCCUCCAUCUUCUUCUUGAUUGAAUUCGGGGACCUUUCCUUCUGCUUUUUGCUGAUAGAGUAUCUUAAUCCAUGGAUCUUCUUUUUGGGCUGUUAUAAUUCUUUCCUUUAGGGUAUCUUGCAUUAUAAUAUUCUGAAGGGUGCCUUGUUUUACUAUUUCCAAACUUAAAUCUUCCAUUUCCUCACACAAGGUCUUAAGGUUAGACUGGACGGUAGUGCAGUGGCAUUGAGCCUUUCUGCCCAAGGCGUCGGCCACCACAUUAGCCUUACCAGGAUGAUAAUGGAUUUCUAAUUUAUAGUCUUUAAUCAGUUUCAGCCACCGUCUUUGCCUCAUGUUCAAAUCCAUUUGAGUAAAGAUGUACUUCAAGCUUUUGUGGUCAGUAAAGAUACGACAUUCACUACCCAAAAGAUAGUGUCACCAUAUCUUUAAUGCAUGCACUACGGCAGCAAGCUCUAAAUCAUGGGUAGGGUAAUGCUCUUCAUGACGCUUCAGUUGACGAGAAGCAUAAGCAAUAACUCUGCCUUCUUGCAUAAGAACACACCCUAUACCUGUUCCCGAGGCAUCACAGUAUACAUCAAAGGGCUUCUCUAUAUCCGGUUGAGCUAACACCGGGGCUGUAGUCAGCAAUUUCUUUAAGACUUGAAAUGAUUCUUCACACUCAGGUUUCCAUUCAAAUUUCACUUCUUUCUUCAAUAAUUCUGUGAUUGGUUUGGAAAUUUUUGAGAAAUUGGGGAUGAACCUACGGUAAUAGCCGGCCAUUCCCAAGAAACUUCUUACUUCAUGAACAGAGGUUGGUGAUUUCCAAUCCAGUGUGUCCUUGACCUUUCCGGGAUCUACUUCAAUUCCUUUUUCGGACAAUAUGUGCCCAAGGAAUGGAACUUUCUUUAACCAGAAUUCACAUUUACUGAACUUGGCAUACAACUGGUGUUCCCGGAGUCUAUUUAGAACAAUACGCAAGUGUUGGGCAUGCUCCUCUUCAUUUUUAGAAAAGACAAGGAUAUCGUCUAUAAAGACGACCACAAAUUUAUCUAACUCUGGCAUGAAUAUUGAAUUCAUAAGGUACAUAAAAUGUGCUGGGGCAUUUGUCAGUCCGAAAGACAUAACCAAGUAUUCAUACAGUCCAUAUCGGGUUGAAAAGGCUGUCUUAGGUAUGUCUUCGGGUUUUAUCUUAAUCUGAUGAUAUCCUGACCGAAGGUCGAUUUUUGAAAAGACCUUGGCUCCAACUAACUGGUCAAACAAUAAGUCGAUCCGUGGCAGCGGAUACUUGUUUUUAAUGGUUACCGCAUUCAAAGGGUGGUAAUCCACACAUAACCUUAAUGUGCCAUCCUUCUUUUUAACAAAUAGAGCAGGGCAGCCCCAUGGUGAAGUGCUAGGUCGGACAAAACCCUUGUCCAACAAUUCUUGGAGUUGUAUUUUCAAUUCUGCUAGCUCCUUAGGUGGCAUUCGGUAUGGUCUUCUCAAAAUAGGAGCAGUGGCUGGUUCUAACUCAAUGGUAAACUCUACCGCUCUAUCAGGCGGUAGUCCAGGUAGAUCUUCUGGAAAUACGUUUAUAAACUCAUUAACCACAGGAAUAGAUUCUAGAGUCACUGCUCUAGUCUUUUUGACCAUCUGGUCCAAACAAGGAUGAGCGGGUAAUUGGAGCUCGAAAGGGUGGCCUUGGUCAUCUUUCAUACUAACGACCCGAUUAUCCAUAUCGAUUUGAACUUUAUGUUCCUUCAUCCAAUUUACCCCCAAAAUAAUAUCUAUUCCUUGAUCUUCCAGAAUUAAAGGAUAAGCACCCACCUUAUUUCCUUCUAGGUUUAAAAUCACAUUGCGAGCUACUUGAUUUGUGUUCUGUGUAGCUCCAGUAGCUUGAAUAGUAUAUUUGACAUUUAAGGUGUGUACUUCUAAUUGAUGUUGCGUGACAAACCUUCUACUUAUAAAAGUAUGUGAUGCACCCGAAUCAAAUAAAACCAUGGCAGGAUAAUUGUUAACAAGGUACAUACCUGCCAGAAUAGGCUCUCCUUCUGGGAUUUCCUUCACGUUCAUAUAAUGAGCUUGUCCUAUCUUGGUGUUCACAAAUUUAUGACGGACAAACUUCUGCCCAGUGCCUUGACCCGAGGUUUGAGCCCUUAAGUUUGCGUUUCCCCCAACCUUGGGAAAACGACAGUCCCGGGCAAAGUGUCCCGGUUUUCCACAGUUGAAACAAACCUGUGGAUUUCCUGGAGGAGUAGGGUUACGAAACUCGAGAGGUGGCGCAUUUCCAGGACGAGAAGCAGUACUGGGAGCUCUAACAUUCCAGGGCUGGAAGGGUCUUUGCUGAAAUGAAGGUCGAUACAUGGGUUGAGGAGGACCUCGAUAUACCACCUUCAUUCUUUGUGGAGCAUUCCCAAAGGUUCCAAAAGGAACAUUCUUCCUUUUCAAAGCUUCUUCUUUCUUUAAGGUUUCGUCUAGGAUUCUCAUCUUUUCUUCCGCGGUAAUGGAUGUACUUACCGCAGAGCUAUAGUCGGCAAAAGUGCAGGUGGACAACUUCUCCUGCAUUCUAGCAUUGAGCCCUCGAAGAUAACAAUCUCUUUUCCUGGACUCGGUAUUGACAUGUUCUGGUGCAUAUUGGGCUAAGUGGUCAAACUCACUGGUAUACUCAAGAAUACUGCGGUUCCCUUGCUGUAGCCCUAAGAACUGCUCCAGUUUCAUCUGCAUGAUACCUUCCAGCACAAACUGUGUCCUGAAGGCUUCCUUAAAGUUCUCCCAUGUAACUUCCCUUCCAACUGGCUGCCUAGCCAGAUAGCUGGUCCACCAGGUCCCAGCGGAACCUUGGAGCUGGAGUCCUGCAAACUCGGCCUUUUGAGUGGUGGUGCACUGGGGGAUUACUCGAAACUUUUGUUCCAUUGUUUGAAGCCAUUCGUUAGCUUCAAGGGGAUGCUCAGCCUUCAAAAAUAUUGGAGGACGAGUCUCCAGGAACUGGGUGUAGGAUACACCCUGCUCUGGAUCCCGCCGAUUUCCACCGUUACCGGUGUUCUGUACGAUCAUUUGAAGUAAUCGAGCCUGUUCAGCCCCUGAGUUCAUAAGGCUGGCUAUAACAUCUGCCAGCGUUGGAGCUCUCGGUAAAUUCUCCUCCUGGCCCCCUGACCCUGAAGCUCCUGGACCUCUUGGAUCCGUCAUGCUGUCAAGAGUAAACAGAACAUUAAUAUUUAGGGUGCAUUUUAUAAACAGUUCCCUGCACACUAAUAUUUCACACAUCACAGCAUGACCACACAUAAACCACACUUAUACACAUAUUUAUUUAUAGUACAUGCCCUGAAGUUACUUUUUACAAAACCACCAUGCUACUCUGUCCAUCAUACGUAUCUUACAUAAAUAUAUUACAACAUUUCUCAGAUAAGGUCUCACUUCAACCAUCGUAAGGGUAGAUGCCUAGUUCCUCGGCAUUCAGUCCUAGUUGGGCCAUUGCUGCUUGCAGAAUAUCUUGGUCUACUGUCAUCAACGUUUGCCCUGGAGGAGUGACGGGUGGGGCUUGAUUCACUGAGUUCUCACUUCCUGAUUCCGGCCCGGGGUCGCUUGAAGUGUAAGAAGUGUAGGAUGCGGAGGUACUAACUCCGGAAUUUCCCUCCAUCUCUUCGGGAUCCUCCUCUUCUUCCCCGUCUUUUGGCUCCUCUUCUCCCCAUUGCUGCAUUGGCCCGUAGCCCUGUGGAUCUAGCCCAUCGGCGUUUGCAUUGGCCCAGGCAAAUUGUUGAUUUCCCGCAGGAGCUUCACCCUGAUCGUCUUCCAUGUCAACAUCAAACCCUUCUAAGUUCUCAUGAGCAUACAGAUCAAUCUCAGGAGCUGCAGGUGGAGCAAGAUCUUCCUCCACUCCUACCACAUCCACUAACUGGUCCGCUUCUUCUGGGUUCGGUGGCUGGGGCUCUUCUGGUGGUGGGGGUGGUGGAACAUUGAUGAUGUUUUGCGCAGGUACCUGGGCCUGCAUCUCCUCCAAAGCCAAACGAAGUGAUAAGAUCUCAUCCAGCUGUUGGAAUCUUUCCGCUUCAAGCCUAUUAACAUUGGAUUCGGCUUCCUCCCUUGCUCUAUCUGCCAUGCUCCUGCUGGCCUCUAUGAAUCCUUGCAGUACCCUGUGUUUUUCUUCAUAUUCGUCGAUUCUUCGGGACUGCUCCCUCAUUAUUUUCUCCAUAUCGUGUUCCCUUGUCAAUGCCGCCUUUUUGUAUAAUUCCUUAUCAUGUCGGGCGCCCAUCAACUCUAUCUUAGCAUCUUCAUUUUUCUGCCUCUGAUUGUAAUACUCCCUGAUGCAAGAUUGAUGUAAGUUGUACAUGGCCGUCAUGUAAUCAGAAGUAGCAGCAACCAAGAUAUCGUGCUCUACACGAGAGGAGUUCUUUAGAGCUUUAAUUCUCCUCUUCCAGAUCCCAUCGUCUUGAUUCUUGAUAGGAUAGAACCGAGCAGAGCUCGACCCUAUCUCUACUUUGUGCUUUUCACAUAACUCUGUAAGAGCAGUCAUAGCCGCCCUUUCAAUUGUGUCAUUGAACUCAAAGCCUGACUCCAUUACUUCUUCUAGACGCCAAUUGGGACGGGUGUCUUCAUUUGGAAUAUGCACAUAAACAGUGCAGUACUGUUUGUGACCCGUAUCUUCCUUCCUCCAAUAAUAUUCCGGAGGGUUGUGAAAGCCUAAUUCCUGCAGCGUCUUCCAAAGCAACUGCACAAACCCUGGCUUAUCCAGAUAAUGGCCGCGGGUCCAUCCAUCCUGAUCGGUGUAACCUUCUUGAAACAUCCUAUAAAAGAAACGAGGUCAGGUCUAACGGCACUCACCAAACCCAAAAGUUUUUAAAAUAUGCUUAUGCAACAUGAUGCAACGAUUCCUACGGACUCACAGGCUCAUACACACACUUAUAAAGAAAUUGGUGGCAUCGUAACCUCUCCCUAUAUAACAGACUACCGAAUACUAGCGACACGCAGCAAACAGUUAGCAUCUGCAAAACAAACAACCAGUUAACACUACUGCCACCUGUGACUCAUGUUUUCUUUAUUUUAAAGUAGAGUCUCAGUUUUAAAUGGUAAUAUCUGUUGAUUAUCCCAACCUACGGCUCUGAUACCAGCUGUGGCGGAACCGUCCAACUUAAACUGGUUUAAAUGCGCCUAAUUGUUGCCGACGCAGCAAUUAUCCGAAACGCACUUAAAACAGUAUAAGUCCGGUCGUCCGUCGAGUGUCCCUAGGACUCCUCGAAAGAUCCACGUCGUGUUUCAUAGCCAUACAUCAGGAUAGUAUCCGCGAUGGGAUAGCAUCAACAAAUAUUACAUUUUUACAUACAUAUAAAAGAUACGAGUUAUUACAGAACAUAGAUUGAAGCAAACUUAAUAGUGCAGUGUUAGACAGAGUUCUAGGACUUAAAACAUAACGGCUCAGGUGGAGAUGAGCGUUUAAAAACUUCUUUUAAGGGUAUUGUGAGACUCAUAACAAUACCCUAGGGCUUCGGGGCUUCCUCCUCGGUAGACUCCUGCGGUGCUUCUGAAAGAUAGCCACAAGGGAUAACCCUGAGUACGGGGUACUCAGCAAGCUUACCCGACUAACCAAUAUAAUAGUUUUCUUUGGAAGUAUAUGCUAGCUUUUUGGUAUGCUUGGCUGAUACAAUUUUUGCCGAAAAGCUUACUACAAGUGAUGCCUUAGUUUUAUCUUUUAUUUGGGUUAGGUUAUUACCUAACCAUUCUAGAUGAUAAGAAGAAAAUAAAAGCAGCAAUAAGGCAUUAAGCCAUACAUCAAUCAUUAUCAGGAGAUAUGUCAUUCAUGAAUUUAUGCUACGAUGCUCAACAGUGAUCAAGUGCAUUCAUAACCGAGAAUUGCGGCGAUCCGGAUCAAUUUACAUCCUGCAGGAGAGUACCCUGAUCACCAGUUUUAUACGACUGUCCAGGUCUUACAUAACGACCUUUCGAUUAGCAAAAUCAAUGAUUGGGAAUAAGACUACCCGGACCUAGGGACGCACCCCCACAUGGGACCCCACGUCUGGCCCGAUCACCAUGUGAGUUUCAGGCUACGCCCCUGCCAAUCUCCAGCACGUCAAGCGCGGGUACGAAGUAUUCCCGAUCAGAGAGUUUACUAACCUACUGGGCUUUACUGGUCCCAUACCCAGUAAGUGAUCAGAUGCUUAUCACUUGAUCAAAGGUUAAGACAACGAAUCGGGCCUUAACCAAAUUAAUCUAGCAGACAGAACUACAUCUCUAGCUUCUGUCCGCUUCUCAAUUUCCAAGUCAUCUUCCCAUAAAUAACAUGUAUGUCUCAAAAGUUUUCCUUAAGGUUGGUAAACCAAGCAUUUAAGCAACUAAGCAAUUAUAGACUUGGGUUAUCUACUAAGGUUUGAACAAGUGGCAAAGAUGUCCUUAAAGCAAGGUAUGAUCAUGCACAAGAAUAGGUUUCAAGCAACUCCUAGACUUAGUGCAUACAUAUAGCAAAUAGCUGAAUAAAGGACACAUGAAAUAUUGACUUCAAAAUAAUAGGUGUAAUGCACCGGGGCUUGCCUUGUUCGCUUAAAAAGUUAGUAUUGUCCGACGGGUUGGCCUCGCAGGGGACCAAUUCGAAGACUUCUUCAAACUCCGAAGAUCCUUCUGAAAAUUCCAAGUAAUCUCCUUCGGGUGCUUCGGGGUCUAUAGCACAACACAUGCAGGGGUUAGGAAUGCAAAUUUUUGAAUAAAAGACUAUACAACUUUCCUUCAUGAUAAAGUUGCAAGCCAACAAGGACUAUACAGUCUAUCAUGAUAAAGUUGCAAGCCAACACCCAAAAACCCAAAAAGAUUAGCCCACAAUUUUUAUUUUUCUUACCUAACCUUACUUAAGGCCUUUCUUUUAUUUUUAGAAAAGGUUAUAAUUAUUUUCUAACUUGAAAACCUAAUUUCCUAUGACUUGAGAAUAAUUUGUAAUUAUGAAAAUGUUAUUUCAUAUUUUAUGCAUUUUAGAAAGAUUAAGUAUUUAUUUAAUUACCUUAAAAGAAAGGCAUUAAAUAAAUACCCAAAUUUUUAUUAUUUUCCUAGGGUAUAAAAAUUUUAAUGCAUAAAGGAAAAUAAAACAAGCCUAACAAAAUUUGUUUCACUAAUUUUGGACACUCGUAGAAAUUUCUGUGAUUUAAAUGGUGAAAUUCGGAUUUAAACUGAUUAUUCUAUAAAGGAAAUCUAAAUUUUCCCGAAAACACUCCCGGGGAAUUUUUUCUCACGCGGCUCGACCCUACCCUCUCUCACUUGCACUGGGCCCACGGCGCGGACCCACCUCUUCUCCUAUUCCUUCUACCCGCCGGCCUUCUUUCCUCCCGGCCGGGCCCUACUGGGCCGAUUCUUCUUUCCCUUUCUUCUUUACUUCCGCGACGGCCCAGCGGCCCUCUGUUCUUUUUCCUUUUUCCCGCGGGCGCGGCCUAACUUUCCCCCUAGGCCUCCGGCCCCUUUUCUCACACGGCCGUCCGCCCCCGGCUUCUUGGGCCUCCGAAGUGCCGGCCCAACAGACGCCCGCGCCCGGCCUUCUUCUCUUCCUCUCCUUUCCCACUGACGCGCGGGCCCAAGGCUCCAGCGCCUUCUUCUUCCUCCCGCCAAAUCCCGCGCGCGAGACAGGGGGUGGCGCUGCUCGCCGGCCGGCGCCCUACCGGCGGCGGAACUAGGUCAGGACAGCACCUUCGUGCCUUCUCACACCCGUGCGCGGCAACAGCUCCUCGGGAGAUGGCCGGAGCCAUUCCCUCCACGGCGGCGGGCGGCAGCACCUACGGCCGGUCGUGGCUAUGCACGACGACGGCGCAAACUACCCCAACGACUACCACUACACCAUCCUAGUAUCCUAAGGAUCUGCCUAAGACUACCCAAGAAGGAAGAGAACAAGCGCAAGGGGGUGCUCACCGUGAGCGGGAGGUGCGGCGACGGCGGACGGAAACGGCGGCGGUUUAUGGCGUACCGGCGGAGAAGCCGGACAACAAGCUGCUAGGGUUGCUGCUGGGGUGUGGGUGGAGGUGUGGACGGAGGGAAUCGACGGGAGCUGCGGUGUGGUGGUGGAAUUUAACCCGGCGGCGGCGGCUUGGCAGAAGAAGAUGGCGGCGGUAAAAAGAGCGGCGGUAAAACGGCGGCGCGGGAGCAGUAGUUAUUCAAGCGUUAACCGCACGCAUGGGCGACACGGUGGCCUACUCGUAGGCUUGCGUGGUGAGGAGGUGGCGUAGUUGCCGCGCUGGCGAGCGACCGACGACGGCGGCGACGACACGUCCUGCUUUGCUCUGCCAUCCUCCCCCUCCUUAUCUCAGGUGCCCGAAACUUCAGAGCUUUACCACGGCCAAUUUCCAAUCCGACGGUCCCCAAGUGUCUUAACCGAAGUUGUAGAUAAACUUGAACUCUUCAAAUUUUAUUUUGGCUCUGACCCGAGAUAAUCAUCAUACCCUAGUCGAAUUUCGAAUUCUUUCUUGUGUUUGUCUGAACUUUACUGAAAUUCGGCAUUCAGUUCGUCAGUAACACAACAGUGCCAUUUGCCUCACUUUGUGAAUAAAUUUUGUGAUCCAAAUCCUCCUUUUCCAGUCCAACUUCUUCCCAUUCGUGUUCUACCAUCUCCAAGGUUUCCAUUUUGCUCAAGAACACCUACUCCUUUUGAUCUACAUUUCUCUGAAAUCAACUCCAAAGUCAGCCAUGUACUGCUGUUUUCAGACUUAGCCGAUUUCAGGGAUGCAAUUACAGUGACGAGAUGCUGACUUUAGGCCUUUAUUUGAAAUAGCUCCCUCUGCUAUUCUUGGUCAACAACACCCAAAUCUAGUAGUCCAAAGUCCAUACUUCAACAUGGUAUAGUUGUCCUGAUCCACUUACUUGAAAACUUCAUCAGAAUUUAAUUUCCAAAAUGGACUCUGCUGCUGUUUUUCUGAAUUUUUCCUAUUGUCAGAUGGUGAAUAGUGCAUUUCGGUUUUUACCUUCUUUCUUUGAUGUCGGAAGUCCCUUGGUGAAGAUGUCAGCAUACUGCGAAGAGGUAGGGACAUGCAGCACACGGACUUCUCCAAGAGCGACUCGCUCACGAACAAAGUGAAGAUCAAUCUCGACAUGUUUGGUACGCUGGUGCUGGAGUGGAUUGGUGGAGAGAUAAACAGCACUGAUGUUGUCACAAUAGACGAUGGUAGCUCUGCGGAGAGGACAGCAAAGCUCACCAAGUAACUGACGCAGCCAACAAGCCUCGGCGACACCAUUCGCCACACCACGGUACUCAGCCUCUGCACUCGAACGGGAUACUGUUGCCUGACGCUUGGCAGACCAUGAAAUGAGAUUGUCGCCAAGGAACACAGCAAACCCCGAGGUAGAACGGCGAGUGUCUGGACAUCCUGCCCAGUCAGCAUCAGAGUAUACUGUAAGAGUGUCUGGUGCACUGCGAGAGAGGUGAAGGCCAAGGUCCUGACUGCCCUGCAAGUAUCUGAGAAUGCGCUUCAUAGCAGCAAGAUGUGGUUCUCUGGGGUCAUGCAUGAACAAGCACACUUGCUGCACUGCAAAGGCAAUAUCUGGACGAGUAAAGGUGAGGUAUUGCAAGGCUCCGGCAAUACUGCGGUAGUCUGUAGCAUCUGUCACAGGUGUUCCAUCAGCCGACAAUUUGGAGUGAGUCUCCACGGGAGUACUGCAAGGCUUGCAGUCACACAUGCCCGCCCUGUCCAGAAUAUCCAAAAGAUACUGACGCUGGGAGAGGAACAGGCAAUCACCUCGGCGCUCAACUGAAAUGCCCAAGAAGUGAUGCAACGGACCCAUGUCAGUCAUAGAGAAUUCCUGGCGGAGAGCUGAAAUAAUCCGUUGAAGAAAACCUGACGAUGAAGCUGUGAGCACAAUAUCAUCAACAUAAAGCAGGAGAUAAGCCACUUCACUGCCUCGAUAGGAUGUGAAUAAGGAGGCAUCUGACUUCGACUCAACAAACCCAAUCGAAGUGAGAAAAGUGGCAAACCGAGUGCGCCAAGCACGAGGAGCUUGCUUCAGCCCAUAGAGUGACCGGUUGAGACGACAGACAUGAUUCGGAUGUGACGAAUCAACAAACCCCGAAGGCUGAGAGCAGUACACUGUCUCUGUAAGAUGACCAUGGAGGAAGGCAUUCUUCACAUCGAGCUGGUGCAUAGGCCACGAGCGAGAGAGAGCCAGGCUGAGAACCACACGGACCGUAGCAGGCUUCACAACAGGGCUGAAUGUCUCAUCAUAAUCAACGCCAGGUCGCUGAGUGAAACCGCGCAAAACCCAUCGAGCCUUAUAGCGAUCAAGUGUGCCAUCUGCCAAGAACUUGUGCCGAAAAACCCAUUUGCCAGUAACAAUGUUGACUCCCGAAGGUCGAGGCACUAACGACCAGGUGUCAUUAGCCUUGAGAGCGUCGAACUCAGACUGCAUGGCCGCGCGCCAGUUCGGAUCAACAAGUGCAGACCGAACGGAUUGCGGUAGCGGAGAAAGAGCAGCAGCACUGAGGUUGAGACGAUCGACCGGUUGCACGAAGCCGGACUUGCCUCGAGUGCGCAUGCUGUGCUCGUUAGCUACCGGCGUGAUGACGAGUGGCGCUGUGGAGGCAGUACGCCGGGUGCCGCUGGCAGCAACCUGCGGCGCAGGGGCAGCGGUACCAGGCGGAGCGCCGGUGCUACUGGCAGCGACCUGGGGCGACGAAUCCCCAGGGGCAGCAGCACCGGGGCUAGCCGGGGCGACGUGGGCGCCGUUGGAGGCGCCGGGAGUGCCAGGGGCGCUACCGGCAGCAGCCUGGGACGGUGUGUCCGCAGGGGCAGCAGCGCCGGGGGCAGCAUCAGCGACGGUUGGGGUACCUGCAGCAGCGACACUAGGCCCAAUGGGCAAAGUGACAGUGUCCUCAUCCCUCAAAAAGGUUAGGGUGGUAGGAUCAAUAGGAGAUGUAGACAUGUUGGCGAAUGGAAAGGAGGACUCAUCAAAGAUAACAUGUCUAGACACAAUGAUCCUAUUUGAAUGAAGAUCAAGACACCUAUAACCUUUAUGAUCCUCGGAAUAGCCGAGAAAGACACAAAGAGUGGAGCGAGGUGAGAACUUGUUUGCAGCAAUGGAAGACAAGUUAGGAUAACAGGCACAUCCAAACACACGGAUAUGAUCGUAGGAUGGAGGGGUGCCAUGGAGCGCUAGGUAAGGUGUGCGGCCAGCUAAGGUUUUUGUGGGGUGACGGUUGAGAAGAUAUGUGGAGGUAUGGAGAGCGUCAGCCCAGUAAACAGGGGGUAAGCUAGCCUGAAAAAGAAGAGAACGAAUAAUAUUAUUAAUCGUUCGAACAAUGCGCUCGGCACGACCGUUUUGCUGGGAUGUGUAGGGGCACGACAUGCGAAGGGUGGCGCCAUGGGUGAGGAGGAACGUGUGGGCCGAGGAGUUGUCAAACUCAUGGCCGUUGUCGCACUGGACGGCCUUAACGGAGGCGCCAAACUGAGUGCGUGCAAAGGCAAAAAAACGGGACAGCAGCUCAAACGUUUCAGAUUUGAGACGUAAAGGAAAUGUCCAAGCAUAAUGAGUGCAAUCAUCUAGAAUAACAAGAUAAUAUUUAUAUCCCGAGGCACUCAAAACAGGAGAUGUCCAAAGAUCACAAUGAAUGAGAUCAAAAGGUUUGGACGCACGACUGGAUGACAAGCUAAAUGGGAGCCAUACAUGACGACCUAAUUGACAAGCAUGACAUAAAGGGUCAGUCGUGCACUUAUUACAUGAAAUGACAUUCGAGCUAAUAAGCUUGGACAAAGCAUCAGACCCUAGGUGACCUAGACGGCGAUGCCAUAGGGCGGACGUGGAUGUAGUGGCGGCGAGGGCAGUGGUGCUGGUGGCAGGUGCAACAAAGAAAGGGUAGAGGUCACCCGAACUGUUACAUCUGGCGAUCACGCUCCGUGUUUGAAGAUCCUUCACAGAAAGACCGAACGGAUCAAACUCAAUUGAACAAUUGUUAUCAAUGGUAAAGUGGCGAACGGAAAUUAGAUUCUUAAUAAUGCCAGGAGCAACAAGAACAUUAGAAAGAACUAGUGACCGACGCAGUGUAACAAAAGAGGAGGAUCCGACGGAAGUAACGGGGAGGGACGCACCGUUACCGACAAUAAUUGAUGAAGGAUGAGAGGAUAAGGGAUAGGAGGAGGUGAGUAUACCAGCGUUGUUUGCCAUGUGAGAGCCGGCGCCCGAGUCGAUGUACCACUCGUUCGAAGGAGAGGGCACGUUCAGCGACAUGGUGCUGAAAUUGUCGAUGAGGGAGCCUUGAUUCCACGAUCCACCAGCCAUGGGAGUCCAUGGCGCCUGCUGCUGCUGCUGUGCCAUGGGUGAAGAGGGCACACCCCCAUAGCCAAAGCCGGGUGGGACACUCGGCGCGCCCUGCUGCAGCAUGUAGGGCACCUGCUGCGGCGCGUAGACGGGCUGCUGCUGGGCGUGGAAGGCGGCCGGCGGCUGUUGUUGACGAUGCAUGGCACCGCCGGGGCCGUAGGGGUACGGCCAGAACUGAACCGUGCCACCCCACGAGUUGGGGAUGGGGUUCAUCGGCGGUGGAGGCCCAGGCUGAGGUCCGCCCCCAGAGCCACCCGCACCGGCGCUAGGGCCGCCGGGGCCGCCGUUGGAUCCGCCGCCGUUGCCGCCACCGUUGCCAUUGUUCUUGUUCUUGCCGCGGCGGCGGUUGUUGUUGCGCUGCCCGGCGUUGCCGCCACUGGAUGGGGCGCGCCCCUGGCCACCGCCCGACUGCCCACCGGAGGGGUGCUGCGGGGCGCCACCGCCGGACGUGUAGAGGGCAGCAGGGGGAGGCGGAUCAUCGGCGGCCGCGUCCUUGAGAUCGACCUCCUCGAGGAGAAGAAGGGUCCGCGCCUCGUUGAAGGUGGGGAAGGGGCGCUGGAGCUUCAGAUGCGACAUCAUAUGGCGGAAAGUGCCAUUGAGGCCGCGGAUUAGCGUCAUCACCAGCGUCCGAUCGCUGACGGGAUCGCCGAACUCAACGAGGGCGCUCGCCAUCGUCUCCAACCGACGACAAUAGUCGGUGAUGUUGAGGGCGCCCUGCUUGAAGUUGCGGAACUCGGCGGAGAGGAGGAGGGCGCGUGAUUCACGCUGCCCUAGGAACUCGUCGUCGAGGGCGAGCCACGCGACGCGAGCGGAGGGCUCCUUGAGCAUGACCUGCUGCUGCAGAUCGGCGUUGAUGGUGACGUAGAUCCACGACGGCACGGUGCAGUCCAUCUACGCCCAUGCGGAUCGCGUGGGGUGGGCGGCAUCGGACAAGACGUGAUCGGUCAGCGCGUACUUGCCGAGGACGACGAGGAAGACCUUGCGCCAUCGAUCAUAGUUGUUGGAGACGCGAUCGAGGGUGAUGGGGAUCAACACCUUGAUGUUGACGACGGCAAGAGCCUGUGCAUGGACCGCGGCAUGCUUGGCCUCGAGCGCAUCGAGGGCAGCCUCGCGAUCGGCCGCGGCCUUGGCGGCGACCGCGGCGGCGGCGGCGGCGCGCUGCGCGCGCUCCUCCUCGGAGAGCACGUCGUCAUCGGCCAUGGGUAGGGGUAGGGGAGCCGGCGAGGGACUCUCGGCGACGGCGCGGCGGGCACCGGCGAGAGGCGCUGCAGCGGCGGCUCUAGCGGAAGCGGGAUCGAGAACCGACCCGUGAUACCAUGAGAGAGUAUUAGGGUUGUAUAAUACUUGGAUUAAUUCUCAAUAGACAUAAUCAGUGUAUACAUAUAGGCCACAAGGGGAGCCACUAGGGGCAGGCCCAUGGGCCGUAUAUCUACUGUCUAACAGUUCUGUUCCAAAUUCUUGAUCCUCAAGUUCUAAUUACCCUUACACCUUUAUUCCAUAUUUUUGCCGAAUUUUUCUGAAUUUCAAAUUCAAAAUUCAAAUUUCGGUCAAAUUUGCCCCGAAUUUGAUUUUCGACCAAUUCCUUUUUUCUUUUCUUCUCGAAUUGCUUCCAAUUCUUCAAAGUCACUUUGAUGACUAAAAUGGCAGCUGUUACAAAUAAGAUGCCAUAUGUGGUUUUCCUUUUUAUUAUUCAAUUCUCUAGUUGAAAAAAAUAUGUAUGAAGAAAUCUGCUAAAAUGUAAUGUGUUUUAGCACUUCAUUACAGUUUGAAAUCUGCUAGAAAUCUGACUAUUACAGUUUGAAUUUCAUUAAUUUCCAGUGCUUUAGUGCAUGUAACUUGUCAUGUAAAUCUGAUUUGUAUUUUUGCAUUUGAGGGGUUUCUCACAGUUAGAAAUAAUUUGUUAUCUGGCUAACUAUAGAAAAAAAUUAUUUCAGUUGUUAAUUUUGCUCAACAUUUUCAGAUGUAUUUUUGCAUUUUAUUUUUCCUUGUCUUUUUUUGCAUCAGUUUGGUUAACAUGUGCUCAGCAUAGUUGUUUUCUUUCUGCAUCGAUCAGUAUCCUAGGGUCAUAAUUUUCACGUGACAGAUGUAUUUGUAGCAUCUAGAUUUUUUUCUCUUCAAAACAGGGUGUUUUUCACCUUCAAAUCACCCGGGUAAUUGUGGAUUCAGAAAUACCCAGGUUAGCAGUAGACACUCUCGUAAUAGAUUUCUCUUCAAUGCCAACCACGCACAUAAAACUAAAAGGUAGGCCGUGCCAAUAACACCAACAACACAACCGGUAUGAGUAUGACUUCAAAAAUAAUAAAUAACUUUUUUGUUGGCAAACAAUGAUGACCUACAUCUAGAUCAUAUAUUUUAAGUUGUUUUUGUCGUGGUGUCUUCCUCGUAAACACCAAUAAUGCACUUCCGCUUUUCCUGAGCACGUGUAGUCCAUAGUUGUUUUUUGUUCAGCUCGGCCUCCAUAAACUGGGAUCCCAUUAUGCGCUAUUUACCUUCAUCUUGACAUCCAUAAUUAUUUUUGCCUAGACUAUUUAUUUACGUAUUCACAUGGUGCCUCGCAUAGUCCCAACCAUCCUCCUGCAGGAUCGAUCACUGCAGUAGACUGUGGGGUUUUGCCUUCUGAACAGAACAGUGAUACUGGGAUGCGGAAGUGAGGUAGCCGGUAAGAACGACAUUGCGGUCUUCCUGUUUCCAGUAGUGUGGAGCAAUCUUAGGCCCUAUUUAGAGGGCAUAUUUCCGCUAUUUUGUAAAGCUAUUUUGUAGUAAAGGUAUUUUGCAAACUAGAGCUAAAAUGAACUAGAAGUCUAGUAAAAUCAGAUUUUUUUUUUACUUCACCAAUUUUGACUACACAGGUAAAAUCUGUUUUGGCAUUUUGGGAGAAGCCUUCCCAAACAGUUCCUUAAUGUGUUAGCCACUUAGCCCUGGCUGGUGAAGCUGCAACGGGGACGUGAUCGACUUUGCUUGCAUAAUAGGAAUUGCGCAGUAGCGGCGGGAAGUACCACCGCUACCUCACCGGCGACCGGACUCGGCACUGCGCGUCGCUGCCUUGCGCAGACUCCACCAAGCGAACCAGCGAUGGCCAGCAGCUCUACUGCUCCCACCCCUAGGGUGAAGNNNNNNNNNNNNNNNNNNNNNNNNNNNNNNNNNNNNNNNNNNNNNNNNNNNNNNNNNNNNNNNNNNNNNNNNNNNNNNNNNNNNNNNNNNNNNNNNNNNNNNNNNNNNNNNNNNNNNNNNNNNNNNNNNNNNNNNNNNNNNNNNNNUCAGGAAAAAGAAGUAGUUCCAAAAAGAACCAGAAAAAGUAAAACCUAAACCCCUACCCCUAGAAUUAAAGAAAAGAGGGACGGGGGGAGGUUUCCCUACCCCGGUCCUCACCGUUGCACUCCCCCGGAGGGGGAGGGGCAAAGCCCGGCCGACCUUGGGGCUCCCGGGGGAAAAGGUCCACCCGAGCUGCGGGAGCUUCCGUUGGGGGUUGGGGUUGGGGGGGGGGGGCGCAACAGCACCACCAAAGGACCGCUCGACGGCGGUGCGCCCAACCUCGCGGUGGACGCGCGCGCCGGCGAGGGGACCCGCGGUGGCGCCGGCCCUCCUCCAUGGUCGCCAUGGCUCUUUGGAUCUCGUUUUUUUUUUUCGGGAGGUCCGGAGGGAGAAAGGGGGGAGGCAAGAAAGAGAAAGGGGAGGGGGCUGCCGCGGCCGUGCGCCGGUGGGGCCAUCCCUCCACCGCCGCCGUCGGCCAUCGCCGGGCGCGGGAGAGACAGCCCCGCCGCCGCCGCCACGGUGGGAUCUCGCGGGGGAAAGAAAGGAAUGAAGCUAUGGUUUCCGGGGGAUCGGCCGUCGGGCGCUUUUGUUCCGCCGAAAUCAACGCACGGCCGUCCGAUUAGAUCGACGGCUCACAGCUGCCGGCGGGGGUCCGCGAUCGACAUUGCGGUAUGCGGAAGUGAGGUAGCCGGUAAGAACGACAUUGCGGUCUUCCUGUUUCCAGUAGUGUGGAGCAAUCUUAGGCCCUAUUUAGCGGGCAUAUUUCCACUAUUUUGUAAAGCUAUUUUGUAGUAAAGGUAUUUUGCAAACUAGAAGUCUAUAUAGUAAAAUCAGAUUUUUUUUUUUACUUCACGAAUUUUGACUACACAGGUCUGUUUUGGCAUUUUGGGAGAAACCUUCCCAAACAGUUCCUUAAUGUAUUAGCCACUUAGCCCUGGCUGGUGAAGCUGCAACGGGGACGUGAUCGAGUUUGCUUGCAUAAUAGGAAGCUACUACACAACAUUAUUUGCACACUUCACAAGAGAAUGAAUAUAAUGAGGGCAGCACGGACACUUCAGCUAUCUUCAUCGCCCGUCUGAAUUCUCAAAUAUUUUAUAUGAACUAGAUGGAGCACUUAGCUGUUAGAGUGCAAUAGUGGUUGAGACAAGACAACCGCAAUUUCAAUAGUGGUUGAGACGAGACAACCGCAAUUUCUUUUAUCCUCGGGUUGGGUGUAGCAUCUAUUCCUCUCCAAGGGAAAAACAUGACGAUGCUUACACCUUAGUUAGCUAGACAUUACAAUAUUACAUUAAAAUAACCUCCUGGUUUGGACCUAGUACAGUGUACAUAAUAUAGACUUAGUUAGCUAGACUAUUUCUUAAGCUUGCGCUGCGCGUGGGCAACAAAUUAAUCCUAGUUUGGACCUAGUACAGUGUACAUAAUAUAGAUGAACGUCCGGGGCGCAUGCCUGGAUCCAUCGUCAUGAGGCCGCCUGCUGAGCCCAAGAAGGUAUGCGUCAUCGGCGCGGGCUUGUCCGGGCUGGCGGCGGCGCGCGAGCUGCGGCGCGAGGGCCUCGCCGUCACGGUCCUGGAGCAAUGCGGCGACAUCGGCGGGCAGUGGCUCUACGACCCUCGGACCGACGCCGACGACCCGCUCGGAGCCGCGGUGCCGGUGAAUGUGCACAGCAGCAUGUACGCGUCCGUGCGGCUGAUCAGCACGCGCGAGGUCAUGGGCUUCUCCGACUUCCAGUUCGUGCCCAGGCCCGGCGCCGCCGGCCGCGACGCGCGCCGCUUCCCAGGACGCCGCGAGAUGUACUGCUACCUCAAGGACUUCUGCGCCGCGUUCGGGCUCGCCGACGCCGUCAGGCUCAACACCCGCGUCGUGCGCGUCGCCAUGGCGGCGCCGGCGCCACGUGAAGCCUCCGGCGGCGACGUCAAAUGGCUGGUGAGAUCCGUACACGUCCAGCCGGACGGCAGCGAGCACGGGGUGGCCGCCGAGGAGGUGUUCGACGCCGUCGUCGUCGCCAACGGCCAUUGUUCGCAGCCAAGAUUGCCCAAGAUACAAGGUACCUAAACCAAUAUAAUCCAACUGCUCACUACAUAGUAUUACAUUUGCAAAUAAACCAACUCUCGCCUGCUCGAUCGAUCUCGAUCAGGAAUGGGGGAAUGGAGCCGGCGGCAACUGCACAGCCACUCCUACCGGGUGCCGGACCCCUACCGCGACGAGGUACGGAGGAAGAAUCCACAGCAAAAGCCAUUCAUUAUUUAUGCUCUGCUUGCUUGGCAGCCUGACAAUAGUCUUCGUCUCCGGCGACGGAGCGCAGACGGUGGUGAUCGUCGGCUGCGGGGACAGCGGCCUGGACAUCGCCCUGGAUCUCUCCGGUGUCGCCAAGGAGGUUCACCUCUCAGCCAAGACCGUGGGGGACGCCACGACGCCGGCGGUGUCCAAUAUCCUCGCCAACCACUCCGACAUGCACCUGCACCCGCAGGUGCACCGCCUGUGCGAGGACGGGCGGGUGGUGUUCGCCGACGGCCCGUCCGUCGUCGCCGACACCGUCAUCUACUGCACCGGGUACCUGUACUCGUUCCCGUUCCUCGACACGGGAGGGGUGGUCACCGUGGACGACAACCGCGUGGGCCCCCUGUUCGAGCACACCUUCCCGCCGGCGCUGGCGCCGUCGCUGUCGUUCGUGGGAAUACCG